ACAUGCAAGUCGAGCGAACAGAGAAGGAGCUUGCUCCUUCGACGUUAGCGGCGGACGGGUGAGUAACACGUGGGCAACCUACCUUAUAGUUUGGGAUAACUCCGGGAAACCGGGGCUAAUACCGAAUAAUCUAUUUUACUUCAUGGUGAAAUACUGAAAGACGGUUUCGGCUGUCGCUAUAAGAUGGGCCCGCGGCGCAUUAGCUAGUUGGUGAGGUAACGGCUCACCAAGGCGACGAUGCGUAGCCGACCUGAGAGGGUGAUCGGCCACACUGGGACUGAGACACGGCCCCAGACUCCUACGGGAGGCAGCAGUAGGGAAUCUUCCACAAUGGGCGAAAGCCUGAUGGAGCAACGCCGCGUGAGUGAAGAAGGUUUUCGGAUCGUAAAACUCUGUUGUAAGGGAAGAACAAGUACAGUAGUAACUGGCUGUACCUUGACGGUACCUUAUUAGAAAGCCACGGCUAACUACGUGCCAGCAGCCGCGGUAAUACGUAGGUGGCAAGCGUUGUCCGGAAUUAUUGGGCGUAAAGCGCGCGCAGGCGGUCCUUUAAGUCUGAUGUGAAAGCCCACGGCUCAACCGUGGAGGGUCAUUGGAAACUGGGGGACUUGAGUGCAGAAGAGGAAAGUGGAAUUCCAAGUGUAGCGGUGAAAUGCGUAGAGAUUUGGAGGAACACCAGUGGCGAAGGCGACUUUCUGGUCUGUAACUGACGCUGAGGCGCGAAAGCGUGGGGAGCAAACAGGAUUAGAUACCCUGGUAGUCCACGCCGUAAACGAUGAGUGCUAAGUGUUAGGGGGUUUCCGCCCCUUAGUGCUGCAGCUAACGCAUUAAGCACUCCGCCUGGGGAGUACGGUCGCAAGACUGAAACUCAAAGGAAUUGACGGGGGCCCGCACAAGCGGUGGAGCAUGUGGUUUAAUUCGAAGCAACGCGAAGAACCUUACCAGGUCUUGACAUCCCGUUGACCACUGUAGAGAUAUGGUUUUCCCUUCGGGGACAACGGUGACAGGUGGUGCAUGGUUGUCGUCAGCUCGUGUCGUGAGAUGUUGGGUUAAGUCCCGCAACGAGCGCAACCCUUGAUCUUAGUUGCCAUCAUUUAGUUGGGCACUCUAAGGUGACUGCCGGUGACAAACCGGAGGAAGGUGGGGAUGACGUCAAAUCAUCAUGCCCCUUAUGACCUGGGCUACACACGUGCUACAAUGGACGAUACAAACGGUUGCCAACUCGCGAGAGGGAGCUAAUCCGAUAAAGUCGUUCUCAGUUCGGAUUGUAGGCUGCAACUCGCCUACAUGAAGCCGGAAUCGCUAGUAAUCGCGG
rnacentral:rRNA from 1 species